AAAUUGAAGAGUUUGAUCAUGGCUCAGAUUGAACGCUGGCGGCAGGCCUAACACAUGCAAGUCGAGCGGUAGCACAGAGAGCUUGCUCUCGGGUGACGAGCGGCGGACGGGUGAGUAAUGUCUGGGAAACUGCCUGAUGGAGGGGGAUAACUACUGGAAACGGUAGCUAAUACCGCAUAAUGUCGCAAGACCAAAGUGGGGGACCUUCGGGCCUCAUGCCAUCAGAUGUGCCCAGAUGGGAUUAGCUAGUAGGUGGGGUAACGGCUCACCUAGGCGACGAUCCCUAGCUGGUCUGAGAGGAUGACCAGCCACACUGGAACUGAGACACGGUCCAGACUCCUACGGGAGGCAGCAGUGGGGAAUAUUGCACAAUGGGCGCAAGCCUGAUGCAGCCAUGCCGCGUGUGUGAAGAAGGCCUUCGGGUUGUAAAGCACUUUCAGCGGGGAGGAAGGCGUUAAGGUUAAUAACCUUGGCGAUUGACGUUACCCGCAGAAGAAGCACCGGCUAACUCCGUGCCAGCAGCCGCGGUAAUACGGAGGGUGCAAGCGUUAAUCGGAAUUACUGGGCGUAAAGCGCACGCAGGCGGUCUGUCAAGUCGGAUGUGAAAUCCCCGGGCUCAACCUGGGAACUGCAUUCGAAACUGGCAGGCUAGAGUCUUGUAGAGGGGGGUAGAAUUCCAGGUGUAGCGGUGAAAUGCGUAGAGAUCUGGAGGAAUACCGGUGGCGAAGGCGGCCCCCUGGACAAAGACUGACGCUCAGGUGCGAAAGCGUGGGGAGCAAACAGGAUUAGAUACCCUGGUAGUCCACGCCGUAAACGAUGUCGAUUUGGAGGUUGUGCCCUUGAGGCGUGGCUUCCGGAGCUAACGCGUUAAAUCGACCGCCUGGGGAGUACGGCCGCAAGGUUAAAACUCAAAUGAAUUGACGGGGGCCCGCACAAGCGGUGGAGCAUGUGGUUUAAUUCGAUGCAACGCGAAGAACCUUACCUGGUCUUGACAUCCACAGAACUUUCC
rnacentral:rRNA from 1 species